CAUCAAGCUUCAGAAGCUACAAAAAAGUUUGACGAGUUCGGGAAGCUCUGCGCAGAAGUACCCAAAGUGCAACAGAGGAGGGAGCAAAGUUUUUUCUGAGAAUGUGCAUUUAAGAUCAGAUUCCCAUCUGAAAACUGUAAUAAAGGACAAAGAAGUAGUCAACAAGUUUUCCGGACAGGCCGCACCAGGUAAACUAAGCCAAAGUAAGGCAAGCUUGCGAUCAUCUGAAAAGGCAUCUCAAGAAGAAGGCAAUAAAGAAACUUCUAAGCCUUCUGAUGUGAAAAAUACAAUGAAAGAUGCGUUGGCAGCUAGAAAACGGCAGCGUGAUGACAUCGAAGCAUUGCUGCCUUCAGCUCUAAUUUCUUCAAAAAAAACUGGUGUGACAUCAAAACCUGCUCCUGUCAAAAAACCAUCUUUGCGCAACAACUGAAAGUGCCAAUUAUAUGACAUCCAAGGCUGUGAAUCUCAAAAAACCCCUCCACAUCCUUCUGAGUUCAUCAUUUUCCUUCAACUAUCGCAUUUUGGACGGUAGCCACAUGCGUUUGAGCUCAUGUGCUAAUCGGUUGGUAGGAAUUUAGUUUCCAUCCACAUCGGAAGGUAUCCGACUCAUCCGACUCGUCCGCCUCUCGCCGUACUGUUGAUGCUCAUUCUCUUAUUGAUUAUGCUAUAAACUUUCAGAUAUUGAGUGGAGAGAUUUAGAGUGAGGAAGUGGAGCAUCCACAGCUCUCCAUCACUGCUCUCUGAGCUCCAUGUAAAACCCAAUUUCUAGCGAAGAACAAAAGAAAGCAAUUCUUACAUGCAUUUGAAUCCGCUGUCAAUCCUCAGCAGAAGUGAAGCUCACAAAUACGUUAUCCAAGUCUCCUCUUAUAUCCCAUCAGUUUUGCUACAUGCCACUCUAGAUCUAUCUUGUAUAAAGAUAUAUAAACAUAAUUCAUUUUAUACUAGUUUUUCAUUUAUAUGAUUAUUAAUCAAUCACCAAUGAUAAGUUUUGGUUUAUCUAUAUAAAUUUCCCCUUUUUUGGUCAUUUUUUUCUUACA